GUCCGAGGCUCCUCGCUCAUGACUGAUGGCCACAGGAGCCCGGAGUGGCAGGGCUGAUGAAGCCCACGGGGCAAGCCCUUGACCUACACGUGAAUGAGGAGACCAGACCUGGAUCAGAGGGAACGAAGUCCACAUCCAGCUUCUCCUGACUUCCUGGAAUCCAGUCCACCAUGCUCUGAAGUUCGGUCUCAGGCCUCCUAAGGGUCGUGACUCAGCACAAGCAGUAACUCAGGCCGGAGACUGCAAGCUUCUCCCCCUGCCCCCUACCUGUCUUCAGAAGGCUCAGAAUUGCUGCUGUUGUUCCAGCUACAAAACAGAUUAGGACCUGAAGCAAUGGUGGGGGAAGAGAGGAGGGGCUCAUAGUCCAUCUGGACAAAGGAGAGGCUUGCCCUCCGGACAUCCUCUUUUCCAGGACUCUGAUUUUCCCACCAUCAAAUGAGGUCUUAGCAACAUGGUCAAGUUGCUCUUCUGUGGACAUUGGAAGAAUGGGGAAUCAGUUAAGUAUUUGAGUUAGGCUAGACUAUGCUGUAGUAACCAAAAAAUCCUCAG
rnacentral:lncRNA from 1 species